rnacentral:rRNA from 1 species
AUUGAACGCUGGCGGCAGGCUUAACACAUGCAAGUCGAGCGGGGUGAUGGUGCUUGCACUAUCACUUAGCGGCGGACGGGUGAGUAAUGCUUAGGAAUCUGCCUAUUAGUGGGGGACAACAUCUCGAAAGGGAUGCUAAUACCGCAUACAUCCUACGGGAGAAAGCAGGGGAUCACUUGCGACCUUGCGCUAAUAGAUGAGCCUAAGUCGGAUUAGCUAGUUGGUGGGGUAAAGGCCUACCAAGGCGACGAUCUGUAGCGGGUCUGAGAGGAUGAUCCGCCACACUGGGACUGAGACACGGCCCAGACUCCUACGGGAGGCAGCAGUGGGGAAUAUUGGACAAUGGGGGGAACCCUGAUCCAGCCAUGCCGCGUGUGUGAAGAAGGCCUUAUGGUUGUAAAGCACUUUAAGCGAGGAGGAGGCUCUUUUGGUUAAUACCCAAGAUGAGUGGACGUUACUCGCAGAAUAAGCACCGGCUAACUCUGUGCCAGCCGCCGCGGUAA